rnacentral:rRNA from 1 species
GACGUAGGGUGCGAGCGUUGUCCGGAUUUAUUGGGCGUAAAGAGCUCGUAGGCGGCUUGUCGCGUCGGCUGUGAAAACCCGCAGCUUAACUGUGGGCUUGCAGCUGAUACGGGCGGGCUAGAGUUCGGUAGGGGAGACUGGAAUUCCUGGUGUAGCGGUGAAAUGCGCAGAUAUCAGGAGGAACACCGGUGGCGAAGGCGGGUCUCUGGGCCGAUACUGACGCUGAGGAGCGAAAGCGUGGGGAGCAAACAGG